UAGAAAUUUUGCAUUUUGAAUGAGCUUGUAAAAUAAUGGGAGAGGACUUUUUGUCAGUAAUUAACGCAAUCAAAGGGUAAGCUAGCCAGAAAUAGAGAGAGCAAAUAUAUAUUUGGAGUAAAUGAUAAAUAGAGUAAGCUAGCCAUAAGGAGUGCGAACUGCGAAGGGCGAGGAGAUAAGGUUAGGUGAGGGAUGACAAGAACACGUGAAUCGGAAUCCGAUGGAGAAAAAUUAUAUCUGUGGGUUCCAGCAUAAGAAAAGAAUCCCAGAAAGAGAAGAAAAUAAAUAAAUAGACCGGGUCACAGUUCACGGGUGUUACAGGGACAGAUCCCAAAUUUCAAAUACAACCCAAGAUAUUUUAUGUUCUGUCAAGACGGUCAGAGAAUCGUCCCUAUCCAUCUCUCCCCGCAAAACUCAACCAAGAAACAAACAAUGAAUGUCUUCACAGUUCAUUUGCGAAUUUAAAGGAUAUCUGCAACCGUCGAAAUCUGGGUUCAGUGAAAAUGCCUGGCGAGGGUUUGCUAACCGAGAGAGAGAGGAAGAGAAAAUCUCAGUUUGCAUAGAUGGUCUGCCGAGAUGGGGAAGAACCUAACUUUGCUGCCUUCUGAUGUUGCGAACUGUCAAAGUAGGGACUGAGCUACUUGUUCUUCUUCUUUUCGUUCUCGUUUUGUCUUUACAUAUUUUUAUUCGGCUGCCGUGGCACCACUUGACGUCAGCCGACUGCUCAGCGAUUACAAUAUAGCGAUUGCACCUAGAAGAACUGGCCUGCAAACAUUCUCCAGGAACUCUACGUGAGCUUCCAUUAAUGGCUUUCAUGACCACUGAUCAGACAGCACUGCCGUCAUCAUCUUCUUCUUCUUCGCCAACUCGAUGGAAAUAUGAUGUUUUCCUUUGUUUCCAUGGUGAGGACACCCGUAAGAGUUUUACAGCACAUUUAUAUACUGCUUUGGAACAGAAAGGCAUUUACACCUUUAGGGAUGAUGAAAAACUAGAGCGUGGACAAUAUAUUUCUCUGGAACUCUUGAAAGCAAUCAAAGAAUCCAAGUAUGCCAUCAUUGUCUUCUCAAUAAACUACAUUUUUUCAAAGUGGUGUUUGAUUGAGCUUGCCAAGAUCGCUGAAUGCAUGAAAGAAACGGGCUGACGGUUUUUCCUGUCUUCUAUCACGUUGAUCCCUCUCACGUACGAAAUCAGAAGGGGACUUUUGCUGAAGCCUUUGUUAAACAUGGAGAGGAUCCAGAUAUUCACAAGAAGAUACAAACAUGGAGAGUUGCCUUGAAAGAAGUGGGCAAUAUUGCCGGAUGGCAUCUACAUGAUAGGGAUGAGUCAACAGCCAUUCAAGAAAUCACUGGAAAGAUACUUGGUCAAUUGAAUCGUAAAUGCUCAAACGUUUCAGAGAAACUUUUUGGAAUAGACUCCCCAAUUGAUCAGACGAGGAACUUACUUAAAAAAAAUUCUGAUGGUGUUUGCUUUGUAGGGAUUUGUGGAAUGGGUGGAAUAGGUAAAGACGCUAACGAUAUCGUGGGAUUGGUUCUCUGUGCUUCAUUCUCAGUACCAGAUCGACAAGUAUUCACAUGAGUUUCUUAAAAAUCUGGAAUCACAAGUACCUCAUGAGUAUGAUCUUAUUUGUCUUCUAGAUCCAUAUAAUUUCCCAGGCGGGAUUUUUUCCCAUGCGUAUUUUCCCACUAAAAAAGAACUCAAGUGGAUAUCACACCUACGUGGAUUCAAUUGGCUAUUCUACCUACCACGGUGGUGGCUUUGGAAUGCGAAUGGGAUGUCAAAGUGUCAUGGGUUAACGGCUACAAUAGCAAGCAAAUGGUCGUGCCUGGAGGUGCAUAAGUGUGCAAUCCAGGCGCAGUACCUGCAAGAUGCGCAAAAGAAAUCAUGUACCAUUCAUCGGUCUCAUUUUUUGACAACUGGCAUCUCUUCCACAAAGAUAUGGUCCGGGAAGAAGAUUGUAUGCGGCCAAAGGAAACAUUCUCAACUGAAAUAGAAGAAUGCAAUCCCAUGGAUUCAGGUUCUGCCUGUAAUGCUCGCCGCACAUUCAGGUUCAGCAACGAGCCGUCCGUAACGUUUAAGUUACCUUCAAACUUAUACGAGGAUUGUAACUGGCUGGGACUUGCUCUAUGUGCUUCUUUUUCAGUCGACAAGGACUCGGCUGCUAUCAUUGAAAAUCUGGAAACUUCACAGGAACUUAUUUGCCAUCUGGAAACUGAUAUUGGCAGCGUGGAACCUCUCCAUCAUGUCUACCACCCCACUAAAGAAGAUUUCAUGUUGUUUCAGCUGGGUAUGUUCAUGUGGGUAUCCUAUAUACCACGAGGAUCACUUCCAGAAUGGUUGAAUCAAUGCACUCGUAUUAAGGCGUCAAUUGCUAGUGACUGUCCAAAUUUGGCAGUGCAGAAGUGUGGAUUCCGUCUCAUAAACCUGCACGAUGAGGUUGAGUUUAAGCAAACAAUAAGGCACUGCGUGGCCUCACUUUCUGAUGCCUGGGGUCUAGAGCGUGGACAAUAUAUUUCUCUGGAACUCUUGAAAGCAAUCAAAGAAUCCAAGUAUGCCAUCAUCGUCUUCUUAAUAAACUACAUUUUUUCAAAGUGGUCUUUGAUUGAGCUUACCAAGAUCGCUGAAUGCAUGAAAGAAAACGGGCUAACAGUUUUUCUUGUCUUCUAUCACGUGGAUCCCUCUCACGUACGAAAUCAGAAGGGGACUUUUGCCGAAGCCUUUGUUAAACAUUGAGAGGAUCCAAAUAUCCACAUAAAGAAGAUACAAACAUGGAGAGUUGCCUUGAAAGAAGUACUGGGCAAUAUUGCCGGAUGGCAUCUACAUGAUAGGGAUGAGUCAACAGCCAUUCAAGAAAUCAUUGGAAAGAUACUUAGUUAAUUAUUGAAUCGUAAAUACUCAAACAUUUCAGAGGAACUUUUUGGAAUAGACGCCCUUGAUCAGAUGAGGAAUUUAGAAAAAGUUCUGAUGGUGUUUGCUUUUUAGGAAUUUGUGGGAUGGGUGGAAUAGGUAAACAACACUUGCAGAAGUGGUUUUCAACAGAAUCAGAAAUCAAUUUAAAGCUAUCAGCUUUAGUAGUUGUGUUAGAGAAGAGAGUACUAGAUAUCAUGGUCUAGUUUCUUUACAAAAGCAACUUCUCUCUCAAAAUCUCGAGGAAGAAAAAAUAAAUAUUUGGGAUUUCGUGGGAGAAUGAAUAUGAUAAAAAAUAGACUUUUCAGUAGAAAGGUUCUUCUUGUUCUUGACGAUGUAGAUAAAGAACAACAGCUAGAAGCAUUAGCAGGGAAUUAUGACUGGUUUGGUCCAUGGAGUAGAAUCAUUGUAACAAGUAGAGAUUGGAAUUUGUUAAAAAGACAUGUUGAUGAUAUAUAUAUAUAUAUAUGGCUAGGGGCCUUGGACAUGCAAAUGCUCUGGAGCUCUUUUAUUGGAAAGCCUUCAAGAAACCUUACCCCAAGGAAAAUUAUGUGGAUCUAUGCAAGGAGUUUGUGAAAUAUGCUAAUGGACUUCCUUUAUCUCUUAAAGUUUUAGGUUCUUCAUUGAAUGGUAGAGGAACAAAUGAAUGGGAAAGUGUCCAAGAUAAACUAAAAGCAAAUCCUAAUAUAGAAGUUUUAGAUAUACUUGAAAUAGGUUUCCAUAGCCUUAGGGUUGCAAAGAGAAGACUAUUUUUAGAUAUUGCAUGUUUCUUCAAAAGAUAUAUAGAAAAAGUUCUCAUAAUAGAUUUAUUGGAAAGUUCUGGUUAAGAAUAGGGUUGGCCAGGUUCUUCAGGAGAACUUUCCAAUAAAUCUAUUAUGAGAUCUUUUUCUAUAUAUCUUUUGAAGAAACAUGCAAUAUCUAAAAAUAGUCUUCUCUCUGCAACCCCAAGGCUAUGGAAACCUAUUUCAAGUAUGUCUAAAACUUCUAUAUUAGGAUUUUCUUUUAGUUUAUCUCGGGCACUUUCCCAUUCAUUUGUUCCUCUACCAUACAAUGAAGAACCUAAAACUUUAAGAGAUAAAGGAAGUCCAUUAGCAUAUUUCACAAACUCCUCGCAUAGAUGCACAUAAUUUUCCCCGGGGUAAGGUUUCUUGAAGGUUAUGAUCCAUGCUAUGGGUACGUACUGGAAUAUUGCCCAGUAAUGUAGUUCAUGCUCCAAGAACAGCUGCAGAAUGGGAUUUUUGGAGUAGGGAAUGAAGGUUGCUUAGAGAGAGAGAGAGAGAGAGCUGGUUAAUUUGAAAUAUAUUGAGGCUGUAGUGCCAAGAAAUAUCUUUUCUGAUAUGAAACUUUGUCUAGCUAGCUAGCAGUACAUGAUUUGGUCUUGCUUCUUUACCUGAACUACUACGGCUUGAAACAAUAAAAUAUUUUCUUGAGAAGCU